GAUGAACGCUGGCGGCGUGCCUAAUACAUGCAAGUCGAGCGAACAGAUAAGGAGCUUGCUCCUUUGACGUUAGCGGCGGACGGGUGAGUUACACGUGGAUAACCUACCUAUAAGACUGGGAUAACUUCGGGAAACCGGAGCUAAUACCGGAUAACAUAUUGAACCGCAUGGUUCAAUAGUGAAAGGCGGCUUUGCUGUCACUUAUAGAUGGAUCCGCGCCGUAUUAGCUAGUUGGUAAGGUAACGGCUUACCAAGGCAACGAUACGUAGCCGAGCUGAGAGGGUGAUCGGCCACACUGGAACUGAGACACGGUCCAGACUCCUACGGGAGGCAGCAGUAGGGAAUCUUCCGCAAUGGGCGAAAGCCUGACGGAGCAACGCCGCGUGAGUGAUGAAGGUCUUCGGAUCGUAAAACUCUGUUAUCAGGGAAGAACAAAUGUGUAAGUAACUGUGCACAUCUUGACGGUACCUGAUCAGAAAGCCACGGCUAACUACGUG
rnacentral:rRNA from 1 species